GCGCGAAAACUUUACAAUGCGGGAAACCGUGAUAAGGGAACUCCGAGUGCCCGUUAAAUCGGGCUGUCCAUCAGUUUAAAAAACUGGUGAAGAAAGGGCCGGGCAAGACCGGUGCCAGCCGCCGCGGUAAUACCGGCGGCUCGAGUGGUGGCCACUAUUACUGGGCUUAAAGCGUUCGUAGCUGGUUUGUUAAGUUUCUGGGGAAAUCUUCCGGCUUAACCGGAAGGCGUCUCAGGGAUACUGGCAGACUAGGGACCGGAAGAGGUGAGGGGUACUCCAGGGGUAGGAGUGAAAUCCUGUAAUCCUUGGGGGACCACCUGUGGCGAAGGCGCCUCACCAGGACGGCUCCGACAGUGAGGGACGAAAGCUGGGGGAGCAAACCGGAUUAGAUACCCGGGUAGUCCCAGCCGUAAACGAUGUGCGUUAGGUGUAUCGGUGACCACGAGUCACCGAGGUGCCGAAGAGAAAUCGUGAAACGUACCGCCUGGGAAGUACGGUCGCAAGGCUGAAACUUAAAGGAAUUGGCGGGGGAGCACCACAACAGGUGGAGCCUGCGGUUUAA
rnacentral:rRNA from 1 species